rnacentral:sRNA from 2 species
GCUAAUCUAUCACUGCUAAUCUAUUACUGCUAAUCUAUUACUGCUAAUCUAUCACUGCUAAUCUAUCACUGUUAAUCUAUCUACUACUGUCAAUCUAUCUAUCACUGUUAAUCUAUUGCUGCUAAUCUAUCUACUGCUGUCAAUCUAUCUAUCAUUAUCAAUUUAUCUACUACUGCUAAUCUAUCUACUGCUGUCAAUCUAUCUAUCACUACUAAUCUAUCACUGCUAAUCUAUUGCUGCUAAUCUAUUACUGCUAAUCUAUUGCUGUCAAUCUAUCUACCACUGUCAAUCUAUCUAUCAUUGCUAAUCUAUCACUGCUAAUCUAUCACUGCUAAUCUAUCACUGUUAAUCUAUUACUGUCAAUCUAUCUAUUACUAUCAAUCUAUUUAUUACUGCUAAUCUAUUGCUGCUAAUCUAUUGCUGCUAAUCUAUUGCUGCUAAU